AUGCCCUGGGAGGUGGCAGGCCUUGGGAACAGCACCCUGGCUCUGCAGCGAGCCCUGGCCCUUCCCGUGCAGCUCAGGGCCCAGCCCACCAGGAGGGACGCACUGGAGGCUUCUCCUCGGAGAACUUUGGGGAGGAAGAAGGCCGGGCAAGGCUGGCCAGAGGGGUGCCCGAGGGCCUCAGGGGCUGGCAUGGAUGUUUUCUCCAGGGACAGCAGGUCUGUUGACUUUUCCUUGCAGAUGUGGCCCUGGUGCAUUUUAUCUCCUUUAGAGCAUCCGUGGGGCCAGGGUGCACUGGGCGGGGUGGAGGCUACCCAGGCAGCAGGUGUGUGGGGUCUCGCCAGGAGAGGGGGCUGUGGAGGCUCGUGUGAGGGCUGCCUUCUGCCCAGCAGACUGUCCCUUCUCUCCUGGCUUCACUGCCCGUGCCACUCCCCGCCCUGCCCUCCGUGCUGGCUCAGUUUCUGCUGGGGCCGCUGUGUUGUCCCGGGGCUGCCCCUGCCCCGUCUUGCAGCCUCUUCCUCUUCCUCUUCGCCUUGCCCGCCUCCUCCCGCUUCUCUUGGGGCAUCUCCCCUGCUCAGUGUCUCUUCCCCUGCCAUCUCUUGCCUCUUCUGCUUUCCCAUGUCCUUGUGGUUUUCUGAAUGUGGGCGCCCCUCGAUUUUCCCAGGGGGAGGGGGACUCCCCUCAGUCUUCAGGAGGGGAUGUGUCACUGUUGUUCCCACGCCACCUAUCUUCGGCCCAAGGCUGAGGCCCCCCUCUCCAUCCCAUGGCAGAGGGGGGACGCUGGAGCCUUCCAUGGUUGGAGGGCAGUGCCGAGGAACGGAGAAAGGGAGAGGAGACAGCUGGGCGCUUUCCCUGGCCAGCACUGUCCAGGCAAAUGUAGGAAACGCUGGGGAGUGAGUGGUAGACGACCAGCCGCGGAUGCCGACAGGCCCGUUGGUUGGUUGGCCGGGCAUCGGGCACACUUUCCCACGCACGGGGACAGACACAGGGCUCGCAGAGCCAAGCUGCAGGGCGAGCCGGUGCUGUGGGUCUGGGAGCAGCGGGGCCUGAAGCCCACCAAGACCCCUCUCCCUGUCCCUGCUCCCCGAGUCUCUGUCCUGGGCAGCUCUUCGCUGUCUACUGCUGGUGCCUUCUGCCCCCUGAAGCCUCCUGUGCCCAGGUUUCCCAGCGUGGCUGCGUGCCUUACCCCUCCCUCCCUUCCCUGGCUCUGCCGGGACCCCCAGGGGGCGCUGAAGUCUCCUGCCUGCAGGGAGGGGCUACAGAAGGGAGGAAUGUGGCAGGCAGACAGUGCUUGUCCCCCACAGAGGCUGCCUGGUUGGAGCCUCACCGCUCCUGAGGUACAUGGUCUCAUCCUUGCCCGGCAGCUGCAGAAGCAAACAUCCCGAGAGCUUGAGUAACUCGCACAAGGCCACAGAGCCUCUGAGCAGCAGCAAGGCGAGAGAGCUGAGCGCUUCCCAGCACGGACUCCGGAGCCACACUGCUUGGGUUUGAACCUGGGCUCUGCUAUUUUCUAGUGUUGGGACUUUGGGCAAAUGACGUGACCUUCUUGGCCUCAUUUUUCUCAUCUGUAUAAUGGGAAUGAUCACAGGGAUCGUAGUAAGCUACUUGGAACACCACUUGGCACGGCAUGAGCACCCUAGAAAGUGUUACGCGUUGUCCCAGUGCUUUACAGUUUACAAAGAACGUUGACCUGACACCUCUUAUCUCACUUGGCCUUAUCAUAGCUUUGGAAAGCAGACAGGGGAAUGGGCCGGCCCAGUCUGCUCUGCACCCACCCUCAACUGCUUAGCUGCAUGAGUCUGUAACCUGUUAAAAAACAAUUACCUGCGAAAACAGCUCUGUCCACCCAGGGGCUGUAACUGCUCCGGGGGCGGGGGGGGGGGAGGGGCUGGCAGGCUCUGUGCAUUCUGCUGUCUCCUCUUCUCCUGAAUACGUCUGAAGCUGGAGACCGUGGGCAGCGCAGGCGUGUGUCUGCAGACCACGGACCCUACCUGUGGCCCCCUCUGAUCUGCAGGCGGCUGCAUCUGACUACCACAGUCUGCUGGGCUAGGAGCUGCCUGGGCGAGUGGGCCCCCAAAGUGCCAUGGCCUAGCUGGCCCCCGAGGGGUGGGAGCAAUCCAAGCGCAGGCUCACAGCUCCAGCCAGCCCACUAAGGCUGCUCUCUCUCCAUCAGCGGAGGCAGGCAGAGCAGGAUCCAGGUCUGGAACCAACACUCGCUUCCCAGGUGGCCACUUCUCCUCUGCCUCUUUCUUAGGGGUGUGGUGGCAACAAAGGAAGCCCACCUUCUCUCUCUCUGGCUCCUGGGGAAGCUGAUGGGGUUGGAAUGGUGUGAGGCCAGGCCAGAGAUAAGGGGCAAGACCAGAGAUAAAGUCUAGGGGACAGACAGCCAGACAGACAGGCCUCCCUCCUGGCAGAGGUGGAAUCUUGACAUCAGAUAACCUCACCAUUUGGAAGGAGAGCAGGGGGAGGAUGAGCUGCUGUGUCUGUGCAGCCGGGAGGCCUUUCUCGGGAGAGAGGGCAGAGUUGGCCUCCACUCUCCAGCCCGAGGUCGGCUUCUCUGCAGAGGAGCCUCCUUCCUGCCCCCAUGUUCCUGCAGCCUGGGUCAGCCAGGUGGUCCUGAGUGUGCCUUCCCCUCUGCUCCUCACGGCCGCCCCUCCUGCCCGGCAGGCCUGGAGGAGGGCAGGAGUGGAGGCGGAGGCAUGUCCUCAGAGCCAGCCCCACCCCCGGCAGGGGGGGAUCAGCUACCUCUUUUUUUAAAAAAUAAAGGUGUAUUUAUUAUUUAUUCA
ensembl:lncRNA